rfam:Asticcacaulis sp. YBE204 contig00019, whole genome shotgun sequence.
GGGUGUGUAGCUCAGUUGGUAGAGCAGCUGACUCUUAAUCAGCGGGUCCACGGUUCGAGUCCGUGCCCACCCA